rfam:Oryza glumipatula chromosome 4, whole genome shotgun sequence.
AAAAAAGGCAAACUUGGGUUUCCGUGCCAACGUUUGACUGUCCGUCUUAUAUGAAAUUUUUUUAUAAUUAGUAUUUUCAUUGUAGUUAGAUGAUACAACAUGAUUAAUACUUUAUGUGUGACUUAUAUUUUUAAUUUUUUUCAUAAUUUUCUCAAAUAAGACGAACGGUCAAACGUUGGACACGGAAACCAGGGUUUGUCUUUUU